CAGUAGCCACGGGAAUACAGAGGAUGCAAGCGUUAUCCGGAAUGAUUGGGCGUAAAGCGUCUGUAGGUGGCUUUUCAAGUCCGCCGUCAAAUCCCAGGGCUCAACCCUGGACAGGCGGUGGAAACUACCAAGCUGGAGUACGGUAGGGGCAGAGGGAAUUUCCAGUGGAGCGGUGAAAUGCGUUGAGAUCGAAAAGAACACCAACAGCGAAAGCACUCUGCUGGGACGACACUGACACUAAGAGACGAAAGCUAGGGGAGCAAAUGGGAUUAGAAACCCCUGUAGUCCCUGUCUCUUAUAC
rnacentral:rRNA from 1 species